rnacentral:rRNA from 1 species
UACGAAGGGGGCUAGCGUUGCUCGGAAUCACUGGGCGUAAAGCGCACGUAGGCGGAUUGCUAAGUCAGGGGUGAAAUCCUGGAGCUCAACUCCAGAACUGCCCUUGAUACUGGCGGUCUCGAGUCCGGGAGAGGUGAGUGGAACUGCGAGUGUAGAGGUGGAAUUCGUAGAUAUUCGCAAGAACACCAGUGGCGAAGGCGGCUCACUGGCCCGAUACUGACGCUGAGGCACGAAAGCGUGGGGAGCAAACAGG